ACACCUAGUCUCUCUUCUUCACUUUCUGUAACCCUUAUUUUUUUCUCCUUUCUUGAAAAAAAAAAAUUCCCAAGUCGGCGCUUCUCUCCUCAAUCCCUCAGAGAAAAAUCCUAUGGAUUCAGAUCAAGGAAAGCUUUUUAUUGGUGGGAUUUCAUGGGAAACAACUGAGGAGAAGCUUAAGGAGUAUUUUCAAGGAUAUGGAGAUGUUUUGCAGACGGUUGUUAUGAGGGAUAAGAUUUCUGGGAAGCCUAGAGGAUUUGGGUUUGUUGUUUUUGCAGAUCCUAAUGUUCUUGAUAGGGUUCUUCAAGAUGAACAUGUUAUUGAUGGCCGUACGGUUGAUGCUAAGAGGGCCUUGUCGAGAGAGGAGCAGCAGGGCUCAAAAUCUGGAAACACAAAUAGUGCCAGAAAUUUUGGAGGUGGUGGAAGUACCAGGACCAAGAAAAUUUUUGUUGGGGGAUUGCCUCCCACUUUGACCGAGGAAGGAUUCAGACAAUAUUUUGAAAGUUUUGGUAAUGUCACUGAUGUAGUAAUUAUGUAUGACCAGCAGACCAACCGACCUCGUGGGUUUGGUUUCAUCUCAUUUGAUUCUGAAGAUGCAGUAGAUAGAGUUUUACAGAAGACCUUUCAUGAUCUGAAUGGUAAACAGGUAGAAGUAAAGAAAGCUCUUCCUAAAGAUGCUAAUCCUGGUGCUGGUGGUCGUUCCAUGGGCAGCGGAGGCGGUAGUGGUAUGGGUGGUGGAAGUUAUCAGGGAUAUGGUGCAUCAGGUAACAAUCCCAGUUCUUAUGACAGUAGAAUGGAUUCCAACAGGUACAUGCAAACUCAAAAUGCUGGUGCUGGCUAUCCUUAUGGUUCAUCUGGAUAUGGUACCCCAGGUUACGGCUAUGGGCCAUCCAACAAUGGUAUGGGCUAUGGUGGUUAUGGAAGUUAUGGUGGAGCAAAUCCGGGUUAUGGGGGUGCUAAUCCUGGCUACAGUGCUGCUGCAGUUGCUGCGGCGUAUGGAAAUCCAAAUGCGGCCAGUGCUGGUUAUGGAAGUGGUCCAGCGGGUGGACCAAGAAGCACAUGGGGCUCUCAGGGUCCUUCUGGAUAUGGGAAUAUGGGCUAUGGUAAUGCCCCUUGGGGUGCUGCAAAUGCUGGUGGUGGUGGUGGUGGACCUGCUAGUGGAGGAUCUGGUCAAUCUCCAACUGGAACCGCAGGAUAUGGUAAUCAAGGUUAUGGUUAUGGAGGUUAUGCUGGAAAUGAUGGUGCUUAUGGAAAUCAAUCUGGUUAUGGCGCUGUUGGACGUGCCAGUGGUGCUCCUAGUGGUAAUUCACCUGUUGGAGGUGGUGCUGUUGGAGACAUGCAAUCAGGUGCUGGGGGUUACAUGAACAGUGGCUAUGGUGAUGCAAGUGGAAACUCUAGCUAUGGGAAUUCAGCAUGGAGAUCUGAUAACUCACAAAGUUCUGGUAAUUAUGGUGCUCCACCAAAUGGAGCUCAUGGUGGCCAAGUUGGAUAUGGUGGUGGAUAUGGAGGUGCCCCCAGUCGGCAAGCUCAACAGCAGUGAACGAGAUGCUUUGUGUUGUCUCGGACUUCAUCUCUUUUAAUGGAGAGUUUUGCGUCACUUUUGCGUUUCACUGCAGAGUUCUGCUCUUGCGAGGUGUCACCUGCUAAAUGAGACUGGUGGAUGGUUUGGUGCUAAUUUUACGUGUCACUUAAAAAGAAAAAGUUAAAAAAGAAGAAUAGAACAGUUUCUAUUUUUCUUUGCGUGAUGUAGUUGGAUCAUGAGAUUUGGUGGUGCUACUUACUCAUAGGAGAGCAGUUGUAGCAGACCUGGUAGAUCAGAGGAGAGGCCUGAAUACUGAAUGUGAUGAACAGUCCACUCGGAGAUAAAUACGACCUGGGUGCUGGAGAUGUUUAGUAAAGAAAGGUAUCUUACUGUGGAUUGGCUUGUUUGAUGGGGUAUUAUCCUGAAAGUUGUCAUGGUGAAGCAGACCAAGGCCAAGCAGGCGCUGCUGAGUUGUAUUUUGUGCAGGGUCGAGACUAACAGCCAUCCACUUGGUAUAUGUUGCUUGCAACUGCAGUUGAGUGUCAAUUGGUUCUUUUGAAACUGGAUACUUAGACUUUUAGUGUCUCAAUAAUUUGAUUAGGUACUUUUGACAAUUUAACUUGCAGAAUUUCUUCUUUAGGUUUGAAACAGUUUUUUUCAAUGCAAUGGAUUCUUUUCUCAGGAUGGUUGUUAGAAAAUAAAAUGGUUUAGUAGGUCACUGGUGUAAGAUGAUUUGGCUUACCAGUUUCUCCCAUGUUUCUCGUGUUUAUGUGUCAUCUUAUAUCAGUAGGAUAACUUAGUAGUUUAUGCCUCUUUUAGAAUUAGAAUUCAGUUGUGGCUGGAGUUUGUAGUUAGUUGAGCCUUUAAUGCUGUCAAUUCACAUCAUUAGUGUAAGAUGAUUCGACUAAUCA